GAUGAACGCUGGCGGCGUGCUUAACACAUGCAAGUCGAACGAAGAAACUCUCCCGAAGAUUGACACAGCUUGCUGUAGAUUGAUUCAUUUGAGGUGACUGAGUGGCGGACGGGUGAGUAACGAGUGGGUAACAUGCCUCAUAGAGGGGGAAAACAGUUGGAAACGACUGCUAUUACUGCAUAGUAAGAAGAAUUCGCAUGUUUUCUUCUUGAACGAUUUAUCGCUAUGAGAUGGACCCGCGUCUGAUUAGCUAGUUGGUAGGGUAACGGCUUACCAAGGCGACGAUCAGUAGGCGACUUGAGAGAGUGAACGGCCACUAUGGGACUGAGCCGCGGCCCAUACUCCUACGGGGGGCAGCAGUGGGGAAUAUAGCACAAUGGGAGAAACCAUGAUGCAGCGACGCCGCGAGAGUGAAGAAGUAUUUCAGUAUGUAAAGCUCUAACAGCAGGGAAGAUAAUGACGGUACCUGACUAAGAAGCGCCGGCUAACUAC
rnacentral:rRNA from 1 species